AUUGAACGCUGGCGGCAUGCCUUACACAUGCAAGUCGAACGGCAGCACGGGUGCUUUGCACCUGGUGGCGACGUGGCGAACGGGUGAGUAAUACAUCGGAAUGUACCUUGUAGUGGGGGAUAGCUCGGCGAAAGCCGGAUUAAUACCGCAUACGCUCUGAGGAGGAAAGCGGGGGACCUUCGGGCCUCGUGCUACAAGAGCAGCCGAUGUCAGAUUAGCUUGUUGGUGAGGUAAAAGCUCACCAAGGCGACGAUCUGUAGCUGGUCUGAGAGGACGACCAGCCACACUGGGACUGAGACACGGCCCAGACUCCUACGGGAGGCAGCAGUGGGGAAUUUUGGACAAUGGGCGAAAGCCUGAUCCAGCAAUGCCG
rnacentral:rRNA from 1 species